GAGGCACUGCCUGCCCAGUGACAAACGUUCAACGGCCGCGGUAUCCUGACCGUGCAAAGGUAGCAUAAUCACUUGUUCCUUAAUUGGGGACUGGAAUGAAUGGCCUCACGAGGAUUCAACUGUCUCUUACCUCUAAUCAGUGAAAUUGACCUCCCCGUGAAGAGGCGGGGAUACAACAACAAGACGAGAAGACCCUAUGGAGCUUUAAUUUUCUGUCUUAACUACUAAAUAACUAACCCUACUGGGAUAAAAAAAGAGAAAUAAGCCAGUAAUUUCGGUUGGGGUGACCUCGGAGAAUAAGACAACCUCCGAAUGAUUUUAACCAAGACAAACAAGUCAAAGUAUUAAAAAUCAAAUUGACCCAAUUCAUUUGAUCAACGGACCAAGUUACCCUAGGGAUAACAGCGCAAUCCUAUUCAAGAGUUCAUAUCGACAAUUAGGGUUUACGACCUCGAUGUUGGAUCAGGACAUCCCAAUGGUGCAGCAGCUAUUAAUGGUUCGUUUGUUCAACGAUUAAAGUCCUACGUGAUCUG
rnacentral:rRNA from 1 species